rnacentral:lncRNA from 1 species
AGCUCCCCCUUUUUAAUAGAAAGCUGGCUGUUGAAAACACUUGAAUUGUACCAUUUCUCUACCCUUGUAAGGUCAGGUGCCAAAGCUUGAUAAACGAGAUAGAAUUACACAAUGGGAUCAAAGAGACAGUCAGCCCAGCUGAUUUCCAGAGGAAAAGCUUACCAGGAUACAAAGGAGAGAGAGAAAAAAAAAACCAGGACACGGCUUGAAACCAGUUCUCCACCGAAGUACAAAUCUGAGAGUAGGAGCCCCGUCUGUGGCUGCUGUUGGCCGAUAGCCCAAGCCUGCUCAUAGAGACAUGAUGGUUUGGUGAACUGGGGAAAAUGUAAGCUAGUUAUUUGGGUGAAAAGGAAUUAUACACCCAAAUUAUAUCUUUAACCUUGUUGGACACCAGUGGGAGGAGCGACUUGUCUCCUUCUGAGUUAUUUAAGGAAUCAGUUCCAUCCAUCUGCCCCUCAAUGUCUGCACGCUUUUUCAGUGCCUUCCUCUCCUCCCUUUCAGGUGACCU